GACGAACGCUGGCGGCGUGCUUAACACAUGCAAGUCGAACGGAAAGGCCCUGCUUUGGUGGGGUGCUCGAGUGGCGAACGGGUGAGUAACACGUGAGUAACCUGCCCUUGACUUUGGGAUAACUUCAGGAAACUGGGGCUAAUACCGGAUAGGAGCUCCUGCUGCAUGGUGGGGGUUGGAAAGUUUCGGCGGUUGGGGAUGGACUCGCCGCUUAUCAGCUUGUUGGGUGGGUAGUGGCUUACCAAGGCAUUGACGGGUAGCCGGGCUGGGAGGGUGACCGGCCCAACUGGGACUGGACUACGGCCCGGACCCCUCCGGGACGGGAGAGAGCAGUAUGGAAUACUAUGGGAGGGAGGAUAGCGUAAUCCAGCAGCGCGGCGGAAGACGGGAUUGGGGUUGUAAACCGCUUUCGCCUUUGACGAAGUGUGAGUGACGGUAAUGGGUAAAGAAGCACCGGCUAACUACGUG
rnacentral:rRNA from 1 species